rnacentral:lncRNA from 1 species
GAACCAACCGUGUGAUUGAAGGUGGAACUUUCAGCUGCACUCCUCAAUCUCUGGGGCCGGGGAUUGUAGAUGGAGGCCGAUGAACAGUUGCCAAAGAUGUCACCAGCCAUGUCCAUGUGAGGACACCUCCAUCAGAAACCCUCGCCCACGGAGUUUGGAGAGCUUCGGAGUUGGUGAACACAUCCUUGUGUGUGUGGGGGCACACCGCAAGUCCAUGGGGACACCCGAAUCUCCUGUGCUUGGGACCCCUCCAACCCUCGCCCUGGCACCAGCCCUCGCCGCGGGCACCUCCGCAUCUGGCCGCUCACUCGUGUUCCUCUCGUAUCCUCUCCAAGAAAGCAGCGGUGAUCUGUGGAGUGUGGAACAGUCGAAAUUUAAGUCUUCAAAACCUGCAUGUUCAGAGCGUCAAUAUCAUCGGUGUCCUGUAGUUUUGAUGGUAUUGCUGUUCGCUUGCUGCGCCGUGAGAGAGAAGCAGAGGAAACAGUGUGUGAUUAAGCCCGUCGGUUAUGACAAGGUAAGAGAAAUAACUUGGGGGAGGGUGAAAAUCGCACUCUGGUUCAAGGCCGUUUGGCUGAGGCACUCAGGAAAUGCACUGAUGCAGACCCAGACUCCGCAGGACAAACUCUCCUGGGUAUACAUUUGA